GGACACAGGGACAGACAGACGGACGCUGUCCCUCCCAGAGCCGUCCCCGCCCGCGCUCAGGACGCUCCCGGCGCUGUCCCAGCACCCUCAGCAGAUUCCCUUCCCUGGAGAAUCCCUGGAUUUAUCAUUGUUAUCAUUUUUAUCCUUUUUUUUGUCAUCAUUGUUAUCACUUCCAGCAGAUCCCCCUCCCCGGAGAAUCCCUGGAUUUAUUCAUCAUUUUCAUUGUCAUUUUUAUCGAUUUAUUUCCACUGAGGGCGCUCGGGAUUCCCAAAGUCAGGCGGGUUCCUUUUGCUGAGCUGGAGCGGGGGAGGGCUCACAAAAAUGAAAUUAUUUUGCCCAAAUUUCAUUAGAAUUCCCUCAAAAUUAAAGGUUUAUAAAGAUCCCCGGAAAGCCACGGGUUUGCUGUCCCAAAAUUACAAAGAAUUGGAGAUUUGGGGGGGAUUUGGGCUGGAAUUCCCAGAGAAUCCCUGGCAGUGUCCCAGGAAAGGUUGGAGCAAUCUGGGAUUGGAAUGGGAUGGGAUUGCAGGUCCAUGGAACCCAUCUCAAGAAUUCCAAGAUUUUGGGAUCCAGGAUCCAUCCUGAGGGGUUUUUAUGGGAUUUGGGGAUGGAAAAGGGAAGGGAGAAACUUCCUGGAGUCCCCAAUUCUCAGGGAAUUCCCAAAAUUCCUUCCUGGAUCCCAAUACUCUCCUCCAAUGGGAUUGAAGGUCCACGGAUCCCAUCCCAAACCAUUCCGGGAUUUUGGGAUCCAGGAUCCAUCCUGAAGGGUUUUUAUGGGAUUUGGGGAUGGAACAGGGAAGGGAGAUCCCAAAUUCCCAGGGAAUUCCCAAAAUUCCUUCCAGAGAGGAGCUGGGAUGGGAUGGAUCCAAUGCCAGGCUGGGAAUGGAGGGAAUUCCUUGGGAAAGGGGGAAAUGGGAUUGGGGAAGGAAUUCUUGGGAUAUCCCAAAAAAACCCCAAAUCCCAACCCAAACAAAUCCCCAAAUCCCCCCAAAAAAAUCCCAAAAAAACCCCUCAAAUUUGGGCUGGAAUUCCCAGAGAAUCCCUGGGAAAGGCUGGAAAAUCCUGGAAUUGUGGGCUGGGAAUGGGAUGGGAUUGAAAAUCCACGGAUCCCAUCCCAAACCAUUCCGGGAUUUUGGGAUCCAGGACACUCAGGAUCCAUCCUGAGGGGUUUUUAUGGAAUUUGGGGAUGGAAAAGGGAAGGGAGAAACUUCCUGGAGUCCCAAAUUCCCAGGGAAUUCCCAAAAUUCCUUCCUGGAUCCCAAAAUUCUCCUGCAAUGGGAUUGAAGGUCCCUGGAUCCCAUCCCAAACCAUUCCGGAUUCCGGGAUUUCAAGGAGACUCCUUCGCUUUGUUCCCCCUCAUUCAUUUGAUGCAUCAGAAUUAA
rnacentral:lncRNA from 1 species